rnacentral:rRNA from 1 species
UGGGGAAUCUUGGACAAUGGGCGCAAGCCUGAUCCAGCCAUGCCGCGUGGAUGAUGAAGGCCUUAGGGUUGUAAAAUCCUUUCGCCGAGGACGAUAAUGACGGUACUCGGAGAAGAAGCUCCGGCUAACUUCGUGCCAGCAGCCGCGGUAAUACGAAGGGGGCUAGCGUUGUUCGGAUUUACUGGGCGUAAAGCGCGUGUAGGCGGGUCGUUAAGUUGGGGGUGAAAUCCCGAGGCUCAACCUCGGAACUGCCUUCAAAACUGGCGACCUGGACCUAAGUAGAGGCAAGUGGAAUUGCGAGUGUAGAGGUGAAAUUCGUAGAUAUUCGCAGGAACACCAGUGGCGAAGGCGACUUGCUGGACUUAUGGUGACGCUGAGACGCGAAAGCGUGGGGAGCAAACAGGAUUAGAUACCCCCGUAGUCCCUGAG